GGACAUUUAAAUAGUUUAAUAUUGAACAAUAAAUAGUUUAAUACAUACAUUGCAUGAGAUAACAUCAGAGAUCACUUUUGUAUUAUCAUAUACUGGCUUUCCUUAAAGUAAAGGCAGAAAUUGACAAUUGAAGUUGUUUACCCCAAAAUUGGACUGACAAUACUUAAAAACCAUGUCAUGCUUUGCAUGGGGAUGGUGCAAUUCACACAGUUGUGGUAUAUAAAGUAAUCUUGCAAGUGAGAAAGAGGCUAGAACAAUCGUCUUGAUAAAUUGACUACCAGAGAACGACAAUGCAAGAAAACAAAUAAGGUAUAUAAAGUUAUCUUGCAAGUGGGAAAGAGGCUAGAACAAUCGUCUUGACUACAAGAGGACGACAAUGCAUGAAAACAAAUAAGGUACUUAGCCAUCUCAAUGACGAAAAGAAAUUAAGAAACUUCAACCAUAUAUGGUCCAUGACAAGAACAAGGAGGAAUGAAAAAAGCUGAAAUCGUCUACUUAUAUAUUAGCGCUGAUAAAAUAGAAACGAAACAGAGAAGUGAUGUGAUAACUAGCAGUCUUGAGACAUGAAAAGAAACAACAACUAAACAUGUCUUUGUUUCCUUUUGCGGGGUUGGUUGAGUUGGACCAAACUCGGAAGGUAAGAAGAAGAGCACACAACCGGGGGACGGUAUAUACUGGGCACAUAACUACGCCCGGAUAUGAGACAAGGUUCCCCGAGAUUGGGAGCGACUCCAAGAGUCAGAGGUUUGAAGUAUCCGUCUUCUCCACUUAUAAAAGCUGUGUGGUAACGAACUUUCUCGGUAAGGGGGGGAAUGGGGGCUAGGUAUCCGUCUAUGUCGAACACCACCGCGAUUUUCUGUUCCUCGUCAAUGAAGAAGGUCCCGCCCAUAUUAGUAUUGUCAAACCGUUCACCAGCGAGAGAGACUGGUCUCAUGUUCACUAUCAAAAACUUGCUCCAGGACACAGAGUUGGGCUCGAUCUUAGUAGUGACCCAAAACUCAACUGUGCUAACCCAAUCAUCAUGAACACCCUCAUUAUGAUAUAGCACCACGAGCUGCUCGUCUCUAACACUAGAGAAAGUCACAGGCGCGUGGAGAGUAGAGUGAAACGGAAGAGGCAGACGAGGACCAAAUGUCUCUGUUGUGAAAUCAAAACAGAGUAAGAAAUCUUCAAGAUCAAAUAUCUCUUCAGCAGAUGUCUGAUCAUCUUCUUGAGCAAAAAAGUAGGCAUUUCCCUUCACAGACGCGCUAUAAUUAGACUCUAUCAAAGCAUCGGGAGGGACCUUGAGAUCCUUCCAUGAAUUAGAGCUCAACUGGUAGAUUUCGUACCUGGAAACUUUUUCUGGAUGGGCAUAAUAUUCCUGAAACCUCACGAUUUUGUGGUUGCGGUUCAUGUCGUAUCCGAAAGCAUACCUGUCUUGGCAGUGGAAAUUGUUGCUGGGUCUGAUCCACCUUGUUUGUCCCAAAUAAGGGUUCCAAACCACCAGCCUCGACUUGUCCUCAGCGACGCACAACAGUAAGCCGUCGCAGUGAUGCACAAUAGAUAUCUUGACUUGAUUAAGCAAAUCUACCUGCUCUAUAACCAAGUAGUCUUCUUCUUCUUCUUCUUUCUUUCUACUAUGGAAUCUAAUUGAUCAAACUUUGGAAUCCAUCGUCAUAAACCCCAAAAACUGCUGCCUUGGCGCUGACGCUUUACCCAAAACCCAAUCUUUGGAUAAAGCGUUCCACAAUUUGCAAGUGGAUCUCACAGCUCGCAGAGAUGUUAUCGGAACCCUCGUUAAUAUCUUCUCCCCUACCAAUUUUGGUGGAAGAUCGCAGAUCUUCGUCCUCUUCAUUCUUCUUCCAACUUUUUUUUUGCCGGCCCUCGUCAUAUUUCCAACUGUUCAACAGAAGCUACGCAAUAGAAAUUACUAGGGUUCUGUAUCUUGCUUUUUUAUUUAUUUAUUGAGACAAUUAUGAUGAUAUAUGUGUAAUACUGUAAUGUAUGUUAGUUUCCGUAUUCACAAAAAAAGAAAAGGAAAAAAAAACUCUAUUCCUUCUCUUAUGUGUAAAAUGUACAUUUAAUUUAAGAAAAAUAGAUAAUCAAAUUGUUUGCAUUUUUGUUUAAUUAGCUUCAUCCUGAUUUCAAUAUUUAGCUUUGAUACGAUGUUAUUUUCAUCUAACGUUUUUUUUUUUUAAAACAGAGCAACAUAAUUUGUGCAUUAGUGUUUUGCAAACCAAAACAUUACAAGGUUUUCAAAGAAAUGUAACCAGCUCUAGAGAAAUGUGGACAACUCAAAUCUGUCAUACCUUUGAACAUAGAAGCUACGCAAUAUAAAAACAGAGCAACACAAACAUUAGCAUACAGUAGUUAUAAAGUAGUGUUGUGUAAACCAAAACAUUACCACUUUUGAUAGAUAAAAAACAAUGUAAGCAGCUCCAAAUUUAAAGUUUCAAUUUACGCAAACGAAUCCAAGUACAUCUGUUUUAUGUAUCCUACCCAAGCCCAUGCAUUUGAAACCAUGCCACGACUUUGUAAUCCCCCAAAUUAACCUUUAAUUUUUGGAAGAGACUACUUAACUAGCUAAGAGAAGAGAUCAGGUCUCAUGGUGAAUUAGGAAAAACUUGGGAAAUAAACUUGAACCUUACACUGGAAACAAAGGAUCAAAUGUGUUUUUUACCAUCAUGGCUUCAUAGAUGUCAUCUACAACUGCUAUUUUAACAUAGAUAACAGCCUGAGCAUACUUGGUACUAGUAGUACUUAAUGGUCAUCUGAAACAACCCGAAUUGUUGAAUCAGCACUUCUUGAGUCAAUAUAAUGUAGUUUCAUAAAAUUGCACAACUAAUCCAACUGAUGUGCUGUCAAGUAAUAUUGUCAUAUCUGGUUGCACAAGAAACAGAGCCCUCAAAUGUGACAAAAUCAAAAUUUAUAAACGAGAGAUGUGUUUUAUGUCUGGCUAUGGAAUUUUUCAAACAGACAAGUGAAAAAGUGGCUAGAACAAUCGUCUUGAUAAAUUGACUACCAGAGGACGACAGUGCAAGAAAACAAAUAAGGUACUUAACCAUCUCAAUGACGAAAAGAAAUCAAGAAACUUUAACUAUAUAUGGUCCAUGACAAGAACAAGGAGGAAUGAGAAAAAGCUGAAAUCGUCUACUUAUUAACCCUGAUAAAAUAGAAACGAAACUGAGAAGUGAUGUGAUAACUAGCAGUCUUGAGACAUGAAAAGAAACAAAAACUAAAAAUGUCUUUGUUUCCUUUUGCGCAGUUGGUUGAGUCGGACCAAACUCGGAAGGUAAGAAGAAGAGCACACAACCGGGGGACGGUAUAUACUGGACACAUAACUACGCCCGGAAACAAGAUCAUCUAACCCGAGAUUAGGAGCGACUCCAAGAGUCAGAGGUUUGAAGUAUCCGUCUUCUCCACUUAUAAAAGCUGUGUGGUAACGAACUUUCUCGGUAAGGGGGGGAAUGGGGGCUAGGUAUCCGUCUAUGUCGAACACCACAGCGAGUUUCUGUUCCUCGUCAAUGAAGAAGGUCCCGCCCAUAUUAGUAUUGUCAAACCGUUCACCAGUGAGAGAGAAUGGUCUCAUGUUCACUAUCAAAAACUUGCUCCAGGACACAGAGUUGGGCUCGAUCUUAGUAGUAACCCAAAACUCAACUGUGCUAACCCGAUCAUAA
rnacentral:lncRNA from 1 species